GGUUUGUAUAUUGUGAUUUUUGGCUUCAAAUGCGUUUUGAUAGGGUUAUUGUGGAAACAAGUAUGUUUUGAAUUAGUAAUUACUUUUGUUGAUGGUUUUAUGGAUUAGUGAAUUGCAUUCUCAGCUAAUUCUUUAGAUUGUGAAGUUGAGUUUGCAAAUGAAACGUUAUAGAAUGAGAAAUUCGAAUCAAUAUUUGCUUGAAAUGGCUUGUAGGUUGUUAUUUACUGAUGGAUUUAUAUAGCGAUAAUUUGGGGAAUUUUGGUUACAAUCACUUUGAUAUGAGGCAAUAAUGUUGGUAUUCUGGUUUUGAAUUUGAUUUUAUGGGAAGAUCUGGGAUUUCUUCGAAAGCUGUGAUCUUUAUGGUGAUUUUUAAGGUUGGAAAUUCUAAUUUCUUUGCAGAAAAAUUUGGUGGUAAACUGGUAAUAUCUUGAAUUCUAAAAAUGUUAUUGUGAAACAUUAACUACAAUGGUGAUACACUAUAUAAACUAGAGCUGUUGUCUCCUGUGUUUGAAAGGAAAGAGGUCAAUAAUGCUAUCACUCUCUUGAUGUUGGUGCAUUUAGGGGUGCUAAACCUUUGAGCCGAGCCCGAAUAGUGGUAGGCUCGGCUCGAGCUCAUUUGCCUUGAUGUAAGCUCGGUUCGAGCUCGAAGCUCGACGAGCUUUCGAAAGAUAGGCUCAGCUCGAGCUCGUGACGCAAGAUGCAGGUUCGGUUCGAAGCUCGACUCGAAUUCGUUUUUUUUUUUUAUAUUAUUAUUGGCUUGAGCUCAGACUCGAAUUUAUAAUCCACAAUCACAUAAUGGUAUACUCUUAAUUUGAAAUUGAAAUAAUUAGAAAUAAGGAGAUUUAUAUUUACAUACUAACAAUCUAACAUGCCCCUACCAUAAAUAAUUGAAGCCCGCUUGAAGGUUUGAAGAUUUUGAACGGUAGACGGCGAGUCAGUGAUGGUGAGGCUACUGGGGGCGUGGGUCAGGUACUCAGGUGGUGUUCUUGCUGUGAGUUUUGUGCUGGUGAAAUUGUGAGCCUGACGGCUGGGCGUGAGAAAUGAGAAAUUGAGAAUGAGGUUCGUGCUUAUGCGGUGAGUGUUUUUGAAAGAGUUGACGAUGAUAUACUAUCUUCUGCAGUUAGUCCCAGCCCUUCGUUAUAAGCACUCAGAUAGAUCACGCCCAUCUCAUUUCCUUGUGCAACGCUGUUAGGGGACAAUUUUCACUCCUAAUGAGUUACAAAGGGUCAACUGAGGUAGCUAUGCUACCUAGCAACUGCAGCAAUUACUUCGCUUGAAUAUAUUGUCCGGAUUAAAAAAGCACAAGUAUUAGUAAUUGCUGUGUCUUUUUAAAUCCGGAAGACCAGAAUCAUGAGUGGAAUUGUAGACGGAAAUACGGAAUCGCGGCAGCAGUACAACCUGAUGAAGCAUACUCCAGGUAAUCGUGCUAAUAUUGCCUUGCAAAUUUAGUGCUUGGAGCAGCAAGGGUAGAUGGUGUUUCAGAAGUUCAAGUAGAUGGGAGAGGGGCUGAGAAGGUGCAAUUUUUGAAAUCAUUAGGCACUGACCAUGUUGGUGGAAAGCUAACAAAGGAUGCCAUGAAUCUGUUGAACAGGGGGAGCUAACAUGUUGGUCAUUGGAUUUGCCAGUGGAGGAGUUCCUAUCAUUCCUAGGAAUAUAGCUCAAGGAAAUGGAUCAACUACAAUGAGAUUUUUUAAAAAAAAUUACAUAACAAUAGAUGGAAGAUAGAUGAGGGGAUAAGGAAAGCAAGGAAGUAAGAUAGAUUCUUUAGUAGCACUGUAAUAGUGUAAUAUGAUACUUUUAGUAACACUGUUAUACCAUAUAGUUUAUUUGUGAUUGUUAAA